UCAGGGUUGACUCUGCCUUCAAUUCAGCCUGCUAAUGAUAAUCCGGCACCACAGCAAUAAGUCUGGAGGUCUUUGUGUUCUCCUCCAAAGUAGUUGUGAUUGAUCUUGAGUCCCAAUCAGGGUUGACUCCACCUUCACGUGAGCCUGCCACUGAACAUCUGACACCACAGCAAUAAAGCUGGCAGUCUUUGUGUUUUCCUAUCAAGUAGUUGUGACUGAUCUUGAGUCCCGUUCAGGGUUGAUUCCACCUUCAAGUGAGCCUGCUAGUGAAUAUUCAGGACCACAUCAGGAAAGCUGGUGUUCUUUGUGUUCUCCUCCCACGUAGUUGUGACUGAUCUGGAGUCCCCAUCUAGAUUGACUCUGCCUUCAAGUGAGCCUGCCGCUGAACAUCCAGCACCACAGCAAGAAAGCUGGUGGUCUUUGUGUUCUCCUACCAAGUAGUUGUGACUGAUCUCGAGUCCAUGUCAGGGUUGAUUUCACCUUCAAGUGCGCCUACCACUGAACAUCUGGCACCACAAGAAGAAAGCUCGUGGUCUUUGGGUUCUCCUCUGAAGUACUUUGCACAGAUCUCCAGUCGCCAUCAUGGUUCAGUUUGCCUUCAAGUGUGCAUGCCACU